rnacentral:lncRNA from 1 species
GCGCGCUCUCUGCAGAAAAGGAUUUUCUACGCUCCCCGCCCAUCACUUGGAUCUCGUCUGGGGAGGGGCGGAUUUUCUUUCUGGAAGUACCCUUCUUCUCCACGGUGGAGGAUUUAAGGCUGGGCUCCAAUCGAGGCGGAGGCUGCAGGGCCCGCGGGGCGCCCCCCGCCCGGCGCACGCCUGCCCGGAGCCCGGGAAGGCGCAGCCUUGGGUGGGGGGGCCCGUGCACCCCCGGAGGCGGCAGCGGCGGUGAGUGCUCCCCUUCUUCCCGCCUGGCACCUUCCGCCAGCCAGGGCAGGGAUCGCGGCAGAUAAACCUGCCAGUAAUUUCAGCAAAUGAAACGUGGAACACGUCAAGGCCAGAGGAUGGAAAAGGCUCCAGUUUUGAUAAAAGGAGGCCUGCUUGGCUUGGAAUCCUCUCUCCUGCUGGUUGGGAGAUGCAAAGAUGUUUCCAGAGAGGGGCUGAUGAAUUGAGGGGAAAGAAAUGAGCCCAGUAUGAGUCCCCUUUCAGGGCUGAGUGUGUAUAAAACCAAACAACUUGGAACCGCUCCAAGAGAGGGGAUUAAAGCAACAUGUUAUUCUGAGUGAUUGCUUAAUUUGUUGAGCUGUGGCUGGAUCUGUAAUGAAAUACAGCCCUUGUAACUGAUAACCUCCUGCUGCAAUUGAACUUCUACAAUUAAGGAAUAUUUUCUGAGUUUCUCUGGAACGGCUCUGAAUUUUUAGCCUCUGUGGUAGGGUGCUUCUGAACAUUUGUUUUCCAGGCAAUUUUUUUUCUUGAGUAUUAGGCUGAUGUUAAUAAGUAAGCAGCAUUUUACUGAGUGUUUUGUGGGAACCAGGAACUUUAUAUACAUUAUAUCUAAUCCUGACACUAAUCCUGACAAUAUCCCAUGAAAUAACCCCUAUUAUUCCCUAUUUUACGGAUGUGAAGCCACGAGACUUUCGGUCAUUUUCUAGAGUGGUGCUGUCCAAGACAGUAGCUAUGAUGGCUCCUUGUGGCUAUUGAUGUGUAAAUUAGUUAAAAUUAAAUAAAUUUUAACAUUUACUCCCUAGGUUGCACUAACAAUGAGUUCAAGUGCCCAGCAGCCCUGUGUGGCUGAUGGCUACCACAUUUGACAGUGUAGAUAUAGACCAUUUGAAGGUUGCAUGAGUGCUAUUGAUCAGCACUGACUCAGAUUUCCUUUUUUUUUUUUUUUUUUUUUGAGAUGGAGACUCGCUCUGUUGUCCAGGUUGGAGUGCAAUGGUGCAAUCUCGGCUCACUGCAACCUCCGCCUCCUGGGUUCAAGUGAUUCUUCUGCCCCAGCCUCCUGAGUAGCUGGGACUACAGGUACAUGCCGCCAUGCCCAGCUAAUUUUUGUAUUUUUAAUAGAGAUGGGGUUUCACUGGCCAGGCUGGUCUCGAACUCCUGACCUAAGCGGAUCCACCUGCCUCAGCUUCUCAAAGUGCUGGGAUUACAGGCAUGAGCCACCACGCCCGGCCAGGUUCAGAUUUCAUAGCUAGAACCUGGCAGUGCCAGAAUUCAAGCCGAAGCUAAUGGGCAUUGAAGGCAGAGUUCAUCUGCCAGCCGUGUUGCUUCUUUUUCUUCCCCUGCUGAGAAGCAAGGAACAGAGCAGUGAUUCUAACCCCUGGCUACACAUUAGAAUUCCCAGCAAUUCUUUUUUUUUUUUUUUGAGAUGGAGUCUCGCUCUGUCACCCAGGCUGGAGUGCAGUGGUGUGAUCUUGGCUCACUGCAACCUCUGCCUCCCAAGUUCAAGCAAUUCUCCUGUCUCAGCCUUCCAAGUAGCUGGGAUUAUAGGCACACGCCACAACACCCAGCUAAUUUUUGUAUCUUUAGUGGAGAUGGGAUUUUGCCAUGUUGGCCAGGCUGGUCUUGAACUCCUGACAUCAGGUGAUCCACCCUCCUCAACCUCCCAAAGUGUUGGGAUUACAGGCAUGAGCCACUGCACCCGGCCUACCUGCAAUUCUUUUUUUUUUGAGACGGAGUCCCGAUGUCUCCCAGGCUGGAGUGCAGUGGCGCGAUCUCAGCUCACUGCAAGCUCUACAUCCCGGGUUCAUGUCAUUCUCCUGCCUCAGCCUCCCGAGUAGCUGGGACUACAGGCGCCCAUCACCACGCCCAGCUAAUUUUUUGUAUUUUUAGUAGAGACAGGGUUUCACUGUGUUAGCCAGGAUGGUCUCAAUCUCCUGACCUUGUGAUCCUACCACCUCAGCUUCCCAAAGUGCUGGGAUUACAGGCGUGAGCCACUGCGCCCGGCCUGUGAGCCGCCGCGCCUGGCCCCUGCAAUUCUUUAAAAAAAAUGAUGGUAGGGUCCCAGGCCCAGAUAAUCUGACUUCACUGUGAUUAAGCUGGGUGGCGACAGGCAUCAGAGGUUUUUCUACUUCCCCAUGUGAUGCACUGUGCAGCCAGUAUGUAGAGCAGCUAGGUGUGAGGACCCACACAGAGGAUGCUGGAAGCAGCUGGUUCAUCUGCCAGGAGAAUGCAGUAUCUUGUGACCAAGAAGUGGGCUUCUCCCAGGGCCACUUCUAAACCACCUCAUCAGAGAGCUCAGGUUCAUAUCCAAGGGAAAAAACUUAAGUGCUUUCUCACACGCUUCCAGCUUGAUGAGAAUCACAGUAGGGAGCUUUGCUUUUCCAAACAGGCUUUGUCACAUGAUCAUGGAAGAAAGGAGAUGCCCACGUAAGAUCACAGAGACAAGGCGAAAAACCUGUAGCCCCAAAUUGGAAUUGGAAGCAUCGAUAUGAAUUCGUGCUAUAUUUUUGUCUUACGAAGUAAAGCAGCUGUUUGCUAGCUCUGUCCACCAUAAAGUUUAGAAAUAAUGAGCCAUCCAGUAGCAGUGAACACCCCAGCACCCAGGUUAUGGUGUCUAAAUGCUACUUCCAACUAGAAACGAGGGCAUGGAGAAAUGACCAAUUCCAGGUCUGAGGCCAGAAAAAAAAUUCAAGAUGAGCCUGGAACAUCUCUGGUCAUUCCUUGCUUCCUUGAUUAGCCAGGUGUGGUGGUGGGGCACCUGUAGUCCCAGCUACUCGGGAGGCCGAGGCAGGAGAAUGGCAUGAACCCGGGAGGCGGAGCUUGCAGUAAGCCGAGAUCGGGCCACUGCAUUCCAGCCUGGGCGACAGAGCGAGACUCCGUCUCAAAAAUAAUAAUAAUAAUAAUAAUAAUAAUAAUAAUGACUAUAGGCCAGGUACGGUGGCUCAUGCCUGUAAUCCCAGCACUUUGGGAGGCCAAGGUGGGCAGAUCACUUGAGGUCAGGAGUUCGAGACCAGCCCGGCCAACAUGGUGAAACCCCAUCUCUACCAAAAAUAUAAAAAAUUAGCUGGGUGUGGUGGCGUACACAUGUAAUCCCAGCUACUUGGGAGGCUGAGGCAGAAGAAUCGCUUGAACCCAGGAGGCGGAAGUUGCAGUGAGCCAAGAUUGUGCCACUACACUCCAGCCUAGGUGACAGAACAAGAUGCCCAUCUCAAAAAAAAAAGGAAUAAUGACUUUAAUGGAUUGAAACAUGUCAUAUAUGUCCAAAUCUAUGAGUUGACAAUACUUAAAAAAAAAAAAGUAGAAAAAGAAAAAUUCAUUUAUCACCACGGGAGGAUAUUGGAAAACCCAACUCAUUUUGAAAACUGUCAAAGAAAGGGAAAGAAGCAUCUAUCCUUUUUGGUACAAACCGUACUUUUUGGUAGCCAAAUAGUUGAUAAAUUGAUACCUUUUAUAGACAUAUGUCCACUACCAAAGACAGAAUCAUAGAAUCAGUAUGCCACCAUGUUGUAAUAUCUAAUGAAAUAAUGGGCCAGGUGUAGUGGCUCAUCCCUGUAAUCCCAACACUUUCGGAGGCCGAGAUGGGAAGAUUGUUUGAGGCCAGGAGUUCAAGACCACCGUGGGCAACAUAGACCUGUCUAUGCAACAAGAUCCUGUCUCUACAAAAAAAAAAAAUUAGCCAGGUUUGGACAUGUGCCUGUAGUCCCAGCUGUUUGGAAGGCUCAGGUGGGAGGAUCCCUUGAGCCCAGGAGGUCAAGGCUGCAGUCAGCUAUGAUUGCACCACUGCACUCUAACCUACGUGACAGAGCAAGACCCCUCAAAAAAAAAAAAAGAAGAAGAAAUUGUGGAUCUAGACAAUGAUCAUCAACAAUAGCUGCUAACAUUGCAAAGAGGAACAACCAGAUAGUAUGUGCCUUUGAAUGGGAAGUACAAAACCACCAAUAGGAAGUACUCAUACCAAAAAAAAAAAAAAAAUCAAACAUCAAUCUAAGUGAGCUCCUAGGCCUAACUACCAAUUUCUAAGACAUACAGUGGAAAGAGGAGCACAUGACACUUCUAUGGAGAUGCUAUAACCAAAAUUCAGACGACAGGAAACUACAGAACAAACAAGCCAGUUUCUUCAAGAAAUAAAUCGCAAGGGAAGAAAAAGACAAGGGGAGACAACCUACAAGCUAGGAGAGAUACAAAAGCAAUCCCAACCGAUGGCAACAUUCGAACUUUAUUUGGAUCCUGAUUUUAACUAGCUAAAGAAACCCUUUGGCUGGGAGCGGUGGCUCAUGCCUGUAAUCCCAGCACUUUGGGACGCCAAGGCAGGUAGAUCACAAGGUCAGGAGUUCAAGACCAGCCUGGCCAAGAUGGUGAAACCCCAUGUCUACUAAAAAUACAAAAAUUAGCCAGGUGCAGUGGCGUGCACCUGUAAUCUCAGCUACUCAGGAGGCUGAGGCAGGAGAAUCUCUUAAACCCAGGAGGCGGAGGUUGCAGUGAGCUGAGAUCAUGCCACCGCACUCUAGCCUGGGUGACAGAGCAAGACUCCGUCUCAGGAAAAAAAAAAAAAAAAAAAAAAAGAAACGCUUUAUGAGAUAACCAGAGAAAUUUGAAUACUAACUGGGUAUUUGCUGAUAGUAAAAGCAUUACUGUUAUUAAAUAGUUUUCGGAGGAGUGAAGGUGGCCAAAAAAAUUUUUUUGGAGUUAUACAUUGAAAUGUUUGUAAAAGAAAUGACUGACGUCUGAAAUUUGCUUCAGAGUAAUCUGGGAUGAGGGAAGGGGAAGAGGGCGUGGAUGGAAUAAGGUUGGCUGAGACUUGACUGCUGAAGCCAGGCUUAUUGUACCACACGCUCCUUUCCUAUGUGUGCUUGAAGCUUUUCACAAUAAAAAGAAAAAAGAGGUAAAGACCA